rnacentral:rRNA from 1 species
AGAGUUUGAUCAUGGCUCAGGACGAACGCUGGCGGCGUGCCUAAUACAUGCAAGUCGAGCGGACUUGAAGAGGAGCUUGCUCCUCUGAUGGUUAGCGGCGGACGGGUGAGUAACACGUAGGCAACCUGCCUGUAAGACUGGGAUAACUACCGGAAACGGUAGCUAAUACCGGAUAAUUUAUCGGUUCACAUGAAGCGGUA